rnacentral:rRNA from 1 species
CCUACGGGCGGCAGCAGUGGGGAAUAUUGCACAAUGGGGGAAACCCUGAUGCAGCGACGCCGCGUGAGUGAAGAAGUAAUUCGUUAUGUAAAGCUCUAUCAGCAGGGAAGAAAAUGACUGUACCUGAGUAAGAAGCCCCGGCUAACUACGUGCCAGCAGCCGCGGUAAGACGUAGGGGGCAAGCGUUAGCCGGAUUUACUGGGUGUAAAGGGAGCGGAGACGGCAGUGCAAGUCUGGAGUGAAAGGCGGGGGCUCAACCCCCGGACUGCUCUGGAAACUGUACGGCUGGAGUGCAGGAGAGGUAAGUGGAAUUCCUAGUGUAGCGGUGAAAUGCGUAGAUAUUAGGAGGAACACCAGUGGCGAAGGCGGCUUACUGGACUGUAACUGACGUUGAGGCGCGAAAGCGUGGGGAGCAAACAGGAUUAGAUACCCCAGUAGUC